CACACCGCCCGUCACACCAUGGGAGUUUGUUGCACCAGAAGCAGGUAGCUUAACCGCAAGGGGGGCGCUUGCCACGGUGUGGCCGAUGACUGGGGUG
rnacentral:rRNA from 1 species